rnacentral:rRNA from 1 species
UGGGGAAUAUUGCACAAUGGGGGAAACCCUGAUGCAGCGACGCCGCGUGAAGGAAGAAGUAUCUCGGUAUGUAAACUUCUAUCAGCAGGGAAGAUAGUGACGGUACCUGACUAAGAAGCCCCGGCUAACUACGUGCCAGCAGCCGCGGUAAUACGUAGGGGGCAAGCGUUAUCCGGAUUUACUGGGUGUAAAGGGAGCGUAGACGGCGUGGCAAGUCUGAUGUGAAAGGCAUGGGCUCAACCUGUGGACUGCAUUGGAAACUGCCAUACUUGAGUGCCGGAGGGGUAAGCGGAAUUCCUAGUGUAGCGGUGAAAUGCGUAGAUAUUAGGAGGAACACCAGUGGCGAAGGCGGCUUACUGGACGGUAACUGACGUUGAGGCUCGAAAGCGUGGGGAGCAAACAGG